GACGAACGCUGGCGGCGUGCUUAACACAUGCAAGUCGAACGCUGAAGCUCAGCUUUUGUUGGGUGGAUGAGUGGCGAACGGGUGAGUAACACGUGAGUAACCUGCCUCCUUCUUUGGGAUAACGCCCGGAAACGGGUGCUAAUACUGGAUAUUCACUGGUCUUCGCAUGGGGGUUGGUGGAAAGGGUUUUUCUGGUGGGGGAUGGGCUCGCGGCCUAUCGGCUUGUUGGUGGGGUGAUGGCCUACCAAGGCUUUGACGGGUAGCCGGCCUGAGAGGGUGACCGGUCACGUUGGGACUGAGAUACGGCCCAGACUCCUACGGGAGGCAGCAGUGGGGAAUAUUGCAGAAUGGGCGCAAGCCUGAUGCAGCGACGCCGCGUGAGGGAUGGAGGCGUUCGGGUUGUGAACCUCUUUCGCUCAUGGUCAAGCCGCAACAAGGGUUGUGGUGAGGGUAGUGGGUAAAGAAGCGCCGGCUAACUACGUG
rnacentral:rRNA from 1 species